AACGAACGCUGGCGGCAUGCCUAACACAUGCAAGUCGAACGAAACCUUCGGGUCUAGUGGCGCACGGGUGCGUAACGCGUGGGAACCUGCCCUUAGGUUCGGAAUAACUCCCCGAAAGGGGUGCUAAUACCGGAUAAUUUCUUCUGACCAAAGAUUUAUCGCCGUUGGAUGGGCCCGCGUUGGAUUAGCUAGUUGGUAGGGUAAAAGCCUACCAAGGCGACGAUCCAUAGCUGGUCUGAGAGGAUGAUCAGCCACACUGGGACUGAGACACGGCCCAGACUCCUACGGGAGGCAGCAGUGGGGAAUAUUGGAAAAUGGGCGAAAGCCUGAUACAGCAAGGCCGCGUGAGUGAUGAAGGCCUUAGGGUUGUAAAGCUCUUUUAACCGGGAUGAUAAUGACAGUACCGGGAGAAUAAGCGCCGGCUAACUACGUG
rnacentral:rRNA from 1 species